UUAGAGGAAGUAAAAGUCGUAACAAGGUUUCCGUAGGUGAACCUGCGGAAGGAUCAUUAAUAACUGGAGCUGCCUUGCUAGAGAUAGUGGGGUAGUUACCAUCAAAGACACGCUAUAUUAAGACCGCCUUAACCUCAGAGGGUCAAACUCUAGGGGGUCGGGAAGUGACCAGUUACGGAUUGAACGUUUUUAGGGUAAAGCCUAGGGACCAUGAAGUGCUAGUUUACGGAUGGACACCUGGAUGUGUCUUGAUCAGCGAUCUUUAAACCUCUUGUUUACCUUACCUUAGUUGCUUUGGCGGGCCACAGCUUGCUGUGUAGGCCUCGGCUUACCGUGCCCGCCGGAGGACCAAAUUCUGUGUUUAGUGAUGUCUGAGUACUAUAUUUAAUAGUUAAAACUUUCAACAACGGAUCUCUUGGUUCUGGCAUCGAUGAAGAACGCAGCGAAAUGCGAUAAGUAAUGCGAAUUGCAGAAUUCAGUGAGUCAUCGAAUUUUUGAACGCACAUUGCGCCCCUUGGUAUUCCGAGGGGCAUACCUGUUCGAGCGUCAUUAACAACCCUCAAGCCUAGCUUGGUGUUGGAGUCGCUAUUUUAGCGGCCCCUAAAUUCAGUGGCGGUACCUAUAGGUUCUACGCGUAGUAAUUUUUCUCGCGAUGGAUCCCCUAUAGGCCCUAGCCAAUAACCCCAAUUUUUUCAGGUUGACCUCGGAUCAGGUAGGGAUACCCGCUGAACUUAAGCAUAUCAAUAAGCGGAGGA
rnacentral:rRNA from 1 species